AGGAGGAGCGUCCUGGGGGCGGGCUGUAGGGCGGGGCCAGGAUGAGCGUUAGGAGGGCGAGGCCUGGGGUAGGGCCAGGAUAAGCGUCGUUGGGGCAGGUCCUGGGUAGAGUCCAGGUUGGCGGGUCCUGGGGCGGAGUCAGGAUAGGGCGAUCCUGGAAGCUGGGCUUCAGAAGCGUCCAGCGCCACCCGUCUGGGGCCCGAAAGGAGGGAGCUUUCCCUCUGUCCUCCAGCCUUUGGACUGUCUCCAAACAAGCCAUUCGUUCACCAAAUACUUAUUAAGCACCUACCAUGUGCCUGACAAGGGAGAUGUAACGCUGGGGAAACUGAGUUACAGAGCUUUUCUGCACUGAGUCAUCAGGAGCAAAUGCUAGAUCAGGGUCUCUCUCUCUGCCACCCAGGCCAGAGUGCAGUUGACGCAGGGCAGGGGAGCCCCGAAGUGGAGCAUAGUGUGUCCGGAACUGGUGGGUUCUUGGUCUCACUGACUUCAAGAAUGAAGCCGUGGACCCUCACGGUUCAAGCGAUUCUCCUGCCUCAGCCUCCAGAGUAGCUGGAACUACAGAUGCGCACCACCACGCCCAGGCUGUGCUUCUCAGUGGCUCCCACCAGAUACCUGAUGGUCCUGUCGAUUUGCUGAAUCAUCAACUUCCUAUUCUCUGCCUCUGGCCUGAAUCGAUGUCCCACGUUAUCUGGCUCUCUGUAACACAGAGUCACAAAGUCAAAGUCUUCCUUGGUGAACCAGUUCAUGACAGUAUCGAUGUUCGCACUCCGCUCUGUCUCGUUGCUGUUUGGAGACAGGGUUUCACCAUGUUGGCCAGGCUUGUCUUGAACUCCUGACGUCGUGAUCUGCCUGCUUUGGCCUCCCAAAGUCCUGGGAUUACAGGCAUGAGCCACCGUACCCAGCCACUCUUGAUUAACUUAAUGGAAAUAUUUACAGAGAUUCUUUCUCUUCUGGGUUCUAGCGUCUUAUCUGUAACCUCUGCAGGGGAGUCACUGAGCAGAACGAAGCGAGUUGCCUGAGAUUCUUCAAAGCCCCAGCCCUUUUGGAGGUUACAUUGUUAUUCUCAGAGCCUUUAUGAUGCAUAAUAAAGACCUAGCUUGUACC
ensembl:lncRNA LINC02018 long intergenic non-protein coding RNA 2018